rnacentral:lncRNA from 1 species
UGCUGGGUUUAUUUCCUACAACUGUCAAAUUUACAGAAAUAUUUUUGUUGACCCUUUUCAACAUGAAACGGUAUGUGAUGUACCAUGUUUUGGUGUUAUAGCACCUAAUGUUAUAUACAUUUUAAAGUUCAAGAGAGAAAACACAGCACUGUAGUCAACAACUGGUAAGUUAACCCUGAUGUUUGAAUCUCAGUUAUCUGGUUAUAGGCUGAAUCUUUUAUGGUUCAACUAGAGUGCUGAGUAAACAUGAACCUAUCUACAGAAUGAGGAAAUGUUUACAGUGAAACCUGUAACCUAGUGACCAGACAAGGUGUUAGACUAUGACGGAUACUUACAAUCUAGUAUGAUAAACUGAUCAACACUAUGUCAACUUAUCACAUUGUACUAUAAUGCAUCACUAUCCUUUUUCUAAUUUG